rnacentral:lncRNA from 10 species
CGGCAUCUACCCUUAUUCCAGGCGGCUGCUCAGGGGCACCGUUCUACCCCUUUCUGCCUGGAGAAACUGCCGUUUUUCCUUAAAGGAUCCUCGAAGCCGGAAGGAGCAGCCACCUCCCACUCCCGGCUGCUGCAAGCAAGCUGCUUUGACUUCUUUCUAGAGUUGGGGAUUGCUGCUGGAGUCCGAGUCUCAGGCCCAGAGUGGGUGCGAUGGUCUUGCUUGCACCCUGUAUCCCCCGGCAGACGCCCGGGAACUCUACUAAGUGGGUGACCCCAGAGAGCUCGCCCCCACACUCCGACUCCGAGUCCAGCACUCGGUCCACUGCACAGGGACCUCGCGCCCCACAGCUGCGUCCUCUCUGACCUUCGCAAUCCGGUGCGCGGCCCGCGGAACGCCCCGAUCUCCAGGGGCACGGAAGGCCGAGGCGUGCCGGGGGAGCCAGGAGCAGCUGGCUGGCGGGCGCCGCGGGCCUCCCCGGUCACGUGACACCCCGGACAACGUGCGCCGUCACGUGACGGCAGAGCCUGUG